rnacentral:rRNA from 1 species
UACGUAGGGGGCAAGCGUUGUCCGGAAUUAUUGGGCGUAAAGGGCUCGUAGGCGGUCUGUCACGUCGGGAGUGAAAACUCAGGGCUUAACCCUGAGCCUGCUUCCGAUACGGGCAGACUAGAGGUAUGCAGGGGAGAACGGAAUUCCUGGUGUAGCGGUGAAAUGCGCAGAUAUCAGGAGGAACACCGGUGGCGAAGGCGGUUCUCUGGGCAUUACCUGACGCUGAGGAGCGAAAGUGUGGGGAGCGAACAGG